CUCUGGGAUCCCGGGAAGAAGCUGGAGAGGAGCCGCGCAAGCCCGGACUGGAAACUGGAAGGGUGCGUCUCAGCCUGGGAAUGCCUGGGAUUUCUGCCCUGUGCAUAGGGCUUGUGUGCAGAGAGGGGGAGCCUGUUCUUCCACUUCUUGAACCUGGGCAGAAAUGAUGAAUGCCACUUCCAGUUUGGCUGAUAAGAGAAGUGGCAGUCUCUGUUUUCUUCCUCGUGAAACAUUUGUUCUUGGGAUGUUCCCACUCAGAACCCAGCUGCCAUGCCAUGGGAAGCCCAUACCACCUUGAGAGACCCAGUGAAGGUGGAGUCAAGUCAACAGCCCGGCCAGAACAGCUGAGAAGCCCUGGAUCAAGGGGAGCCAUCCACAGGCUCUGGAAUGAAGUCAAAUGGAGCAUUCUGAACCCAACCAGAAGCCUACCCCAGCCAAGCCCAGGCAAGCCUACUCAAGAUCAGCCAACUACAGCAGACCUCCUGCCUCAGGGGUAUGAAAUAAAGAGUUGGUUGUGGGAUUGUGUUUUAUGUAACAUCAUCACAAAAGUAACUGACUGAUACACCAGUCAUUCAGAUAGCCAUGCUAGAAACUUGAAUGUCACCCUUUACUCUCAUCUCUUCUUCAUGCCUCACACUCCAACCCCAAGCCCCAAAUAUUCCUCAAAG
rnacentral:lncRNA from 1 species